AUUGAACGCUGGCGGAAUGCUUUACACAUGCAAGUCGAACGGCAGCACGGACUUCGGUCUGGUGGCGAGUGGCGAACGGGUGAGUAAUGUAUCGGAACGUGCCCAGUCGUGGGGGAUAACGUAGUGAAAAUUACGCUAAUACUGCAUACGAUCUAUGGAUGAAAGCGGGGGAUCGCAAGACCUCGCGCGAUUGGAGCGGCCGAUAUCAGAUUAGGUAGUUGGUGGGGUAAAGGCCCACCAAGCCAACGAUCUGUAGCUGGUCUGAGAGGACGACCAGCCACACUGGAACUGAGAGCCGGUCCAGACUCCUACGGGAGGCAGCAGUGGGGAAUUUUGGACAAUGGGCGAAAGCCUGAUCCAGCCAUUCCGCGUGCAGGAUGAAGGCCCUCGGGUUGUAAACUGCUUUUGUACAGAACGAAAAGGUUUCUACUAAUACUAGGAGCUCAUGACGGUACUGUAAGAAUAAGCACCGGCUAACUACGUGCCAGCAGCCGCAGUAA
rnacentral:rRNA from 1 species